rnacentral:rRNA from 1 species
UGGGUGACCUGCCCUCAGCUCUGGGAUAAGCCCGGGAAACUGGGUCUAAUACCGGAUAUGACCUCUCAUCGCAUGGUGAGGGGUGGAAAGUUUUUCGGCUGGGGAUGGGCCCGCGGCCUAUCAGCUUGUUGGUGGGGUGACGGCCUACCAAGGCGACGACGGGUAGCCGGCCUGAGAGGGCGACCGGCCACACUGGGACUGAGAUACGGCCCAGACUCCUACGGGAG